GGGACUGCCCGUAGGCGCAGUGAGAACCCAAUUUCAGACUCCGAAACAAGUAAGGAUCUCUCACCCUAUUUCUUAUUACGGCAUUAAAGCUUAAUAAAUGAUAAAAUGGUAUGUUAUGAAUUAAUAGAUAUGUAUAAUUAAUUAAGGUUGCUAAUGGAGCCCAAAUCUGAUGUAUUUUUCGGUCAGGUGUUGUUUGAUUUAUUUUACAGUUUUGAAUGCAGUAUGGUGUCUGAUGUGUUUAUUCUAUGGUUUCGUAUGUAUGAAUCACGGUUUCAUUUAUUAUGGUUUGAAUUAUUGUGAACCCGAUGUUGUGUUGC
rnacentral:lncRNA from 1 species